UGGGGAAUUUUGGACAAUGGGGGCAACCCUGAUCCAGCCAUGCCGCGUGCAGGAUGAAGGCCUUCGGGUUGUAAACUGCUUUUGUCAGGGACGAAAAGGUUUCCGCUAAUACCGGAGACUGCUGACGGUACCUGAAGAAUAAGCACCGGCUAACUACGUGCCAGCAGCCGCGGUAAUACGUAGGGUGCAAGCGUUAAUCGGAAUUACUGGGCGUAAAGCGUGCGCAGGCGGUUUCGUAAGACAGAUGUGAAAUCCCCGGGCUUAACCUGGGAAUUGCAUUUGUGACUGCGGGACUAGAGUUUGGCAGAGGGAGGUGGAAUUCCAAGUGUAGCAGUGAAAUGCGUAGAUAUUUGGAAGAACACCGAUGGCGAAGGCAGCCUCCUGGGCCAAGACUGACGCUCAUGCACGAAAGCGUGGGGAGCAAACA
rnacentral:rRNA from 1 species